rnacentral:rRNA from 1 species
AACGAACGCUGGCGGCAGGCUUAACACAUGCAAGUCGAGCGCCCCGCAAGGGGAGCGGCAGACGGGUGAGUAACGCGUGGGAAUCUACCCAUCUCUACGGAAUAACGCAUGGAAACGUGUGCUAAUACCGUAUACGUACUUCGGGAGAAAGAUUUAUCGGAGAUGGAUGAGCCCGCGGUGGAUUAGCUAGUUGGUGGGGUAAAGGCCUACCAAGGCGACGAUCCAUAGCUGGUCUGAGAGGAUGAUCAGCCACACUGGGACUGAGACACGGCCCAGACUCCUACGGGAGGCAGCAGUGGGGAAUAUUGGACAAUGGGCGCAAGCCUGAUCCAGCCAUGCCGCGUGGGUGAUGAAGACCCUAGGGUUGUAAAGCUCUUUCACCGGUGAAGAUAAUGACGGUAACCGGAGAAGAAGCCCCGGCUAACUUCGUGCCAGCCGCCGCCGUAAAAC